CCCACGUAAUGACAAUGUGAAGAUGUCAAAUCUUGAUAUUAGUAAUAUUAUUUUAACAUUUCAAGGAAGUAUUAUUGUUGGGGGAAGACAAAAAACACAAAUGUAUUAUAUCAUAUGCUAGAUAUAUUAGGACCCAGUGUUCAAUUACAGCCAUUUAUCACAAAGUUCACUACCACCACUUGGCUAACUCCUAGGUUGCUUAGUCAUAUAUUACUACGCUUAAAUCAAGUACGAUAAGUUGUGCCUAGUUACCAAGUAUAUUAACAACUAUAAGUUCCUUACUGGUGUGGACUUGGGGCUGGACAUGGGGCCUGGAGGUAUUUCCACCCGAGAACAUAUGCCUGUCAGAGGCAGUACAGAAUUAGCGAAAAAUAGUUAUAGUUUGAACUGAAAUAUUGUAUCAGAACUAAAACAUAAUAAAUAAAAAAUUAAUAGUAAGUGCAAAAAGCGCUAUGUUUUCAUAUAUAGCGACCAUAGUUGUAAAGUCAUAAAGUCGAGUCAAGAUGGUGGCGAGGAGCUUAAGCGACUAGUUGGCAAGGCGCCCAACUAGUCGCUCAUGAGUCGACAAGUCAUUUCUAAUGUACAAUUUAAAAUUUAUACAUGUUAACUAUAUAUAUAUAUAUACACACACACACACACAUAUUAAUAUUAUUUCAAUUACAUUAAAUAAAAAUUAUUGUCACAAAUAUAUUACUAUUUCACAAUUUAUUAAUGUAAUAAAUAUUAUUGUACAUUGUACUGCCCAUUGAAAAAAAUAUAAGGCAGCAAAAUGCCCAUUGUUUAAAAAAAAGGAAAAAAUAAACAAACUAACCGCCCAUGAAUAAAUACUAGGACUUUUGGAAAUUAUUAUAUGCAAUUAUGUAUCCAUUAAUUUUUAAAGUGGGUAAAGGACCGCACCUUGUUACAUGCCAACUAUAGUACAAAAAUAAAUAAAUUCGUAUGGCUAGUCAACUAGUGGACCCAAAGCGACGACUUGGCAACAUCCUCUAAGUCGUCCAUUUAACUUGGCUAGCAGGUACCCACCAGACAACUAGUCUUGAUAACUAUGAUACGGACAACCAAAUAACAAAGAACUAUAUAAGUGGAUGUCAUCUACAGCAAAUGUAAUGUCAAGUUCUAACCUUUAGAAGUUAAUGCAAUGGCUCUCCUUCAAUGGCUUAGGGAAAACUUCCUAUCCUCCUUGCUUAUUGCAUUACCGGUAGUGAUACUGCAGAAGUUUCUCUUAAAGAAUACGUCUAGAAAAAGAAAUUUAAAACUCCCACCAAGCCCUCCAAAGCUACCCAUCAUCGGUAAUCUCCACCAGCUUGGAAAAAUGCCCCACGUAUCUCUCUUCCGCCUAGCCACAAAGUAUGGUCCCAUCAAUUACUUGCAACUUGGUGAGGUCCCUACAGUGGUGGUAUCAUCAGCUAGAAUGGCCAAAGAAGUGAUGAAAACCCAUGAUCUUGCACUUUCAAGCCGCCCAAAGAUAUUUUCAGCCAAACACCUUUUCUACAACUGCACUAAUGUCGUCUUUUCCCCAUAUGGUGCCUACUGGAGGCAGAUAAGGAAAAUAUGCAUCCUUGAGCUAUUAAGUGCGAAGCGGGUUCAAUCCUACAGCUUUGUAAGAGAAGAAGAGGUUGCUUGACUGGUCGGUAGGAUUAAUGCAGAAACAUACCCCAGCACCAUUAAUUUGACCAAGAUGCUUGGAUUCUAUGCAAAUGAUGUCCUUUGUAGAAUUGUUUUAGAAAGGGAUUACUCUGGAGGAGGUGAUUAUGAUCGGCUUGGGUUCCAAAAUAUGCUUGACGAGUAUCAAGUGUUGCUUGGAGGAUUCAACCUAGGAGAUUUCUUCCCUUUAGUGGAAUUUGUAUACACUUUUACUGGCAUGAAGUUAAGGCUUCAGAACACUUUCAAACGCUUUGCCCAGUUUUUUGAUGAGGUACUGAAGGAACAUCUUAAUCCGAAGAAAAAUAAAGAAGAGCUCAAGGACCUCGUUGAUAUCUUACUUGAAAUACAGAAGGACGGGGACACUGAAUUGCCUCUCACCAUGGAAAAUAUUAAAGCCAUUAUGUUGGUAAGUAACAUUUCUUAUUCCUUGAUUUUUAACACAAUAGGAAAAGAAUCCAAUCCUCAAGCAACACGUGUGUAUAUCAAUUUAUCAAGCUCAAUAAUUAUAUUAAUUGUGCAGGAUAUGUUUGCAGCAGGAACUGAUACAACCUUCAUAACCCUAGAUUGGGGGAUGACAGAGCUGAAGUAAGAAGUGUUGUUGGAGAAAGAAUGAUGAGUGAGUUUUAUACCCAUGAAUUGAGUGCGUUUGAGCUUAAUCUUUUGGAUGUUUUUAAGUGUUUGUGUCUAUUCAUGCAUGUUUUAUGUUGUUUUGUAGGAAUUGGGACAAAAGUUACUUGGAUCGACGUUUGGGGUUGCUAGAUUCGCAUUUUCGACUUGCCAUUUACAUAGCAGCCACUUCAGGGCCACUUUCAGCAUUGUUUCAGUCCUUAUUUCGAAAAACUCAAAGAAUGAAAGUUGUAGAUCUACGUCUCCUCUUUCCGGAACAUCUUGAAUCAUCAAAAUCGGAGUUCGGACAAAAAAGUUAUUGCCAUUUUCCCAAAAGACGUCAAAACAGAAAAUUUCCGAAAAAAGGCCCAGCGCCGGGGCGCUAAGAGGCAGGUUUGCAGCGCCAUGAGCAGCGCCGGGGAGCUGGGGUCAGGCCAGAAAAAGUUGGGACGCGUUUUGGGGCGCUUUUCGAUACUUUUUUGACUCCAAAUUGGAUUGAUUUUUCUCCUAAGCUAGAAAUUGGACUUGUAGCCUAUAAAUAUAUGUUGUGAAGCAUAAAAUAAGGGAGAUUAUAUAGAUUAGAUUAGAUAAAACACUCUAUUAGAUUAGAACAUAAACCCUAGUUUAUAUUGGAUUGUUGGAGAUUGAAGCAACUUGGGGAUCAUUGAAGAUCAAGAGUAGGAGCAAGAGGGGAGCAUCAGAUUUGCAGACAACAGAUUUCAUUCUUUUCUCUACUUCUAUUUUUGUCUUUUAAUGUUUAUUCAAUUGUGGAUUUAAGAUUUUAAUUCAAUGAUUAUGAACUAAAUUCUCGUUUAAGAUUGCAACGGAUCUUAUUGCGUAGCUUAUUUUAGUAUACUUCUUUAUUAAUUAUUGUAAUCUAUUCUAGGGAUUGUCUACUAUGAUUUGUGCAUAAUUGUUUAAUUGUCUAGCAAACAAUUACCAUGAUAAUUUAUAUGAAUUCGGAAAAUGAAAUAUAGAUUUAGAUCUGAUCAUAAUAGCAUGUGAUUGUUUUUUCUGCAUGGUGUUGGAAUUCAUGAUUUAUGUUUAGGAUAGGGAUAUACCUUUAUACCGCGUGUAAUCUGAUAGGGAACGUGUACUUUAAAUCCUUUUUAAUUGUAAUUCACAUAGGAAUAUAGUGAAUUAGUUAAUUACGGUGUUUGAUUCAAUUCUAUUAACUGUGGAUUUGGAUUAAUAUGUUUGUGAUGCAUCAGAAGGUGGUUAUAAAUACUAAUAAGUUCCUGAUUAACAAUCCAGAAUAACGAGCAUAAUUAAUGAGAAGUGUUUUAAUAUAAGUGAAGCAAUAAGUGAAGUUUUGAUCUUAAAUCUCCAUAACCUGAUUUUCAACUAGUGGUAGUAGUAGUAGUUUAAUAAUAUAUUUUAAUUCACAACAUUAAAUCAAUUGUUUAAAUAAAAUUAGUUUGGUUAAGAACUAGUACUUGGUGAUUUUUAUUAAAUAAUUCCUUGUGGGAACGAUACUUUUUUUUAUCACUUUAUUACUUGUUGACCGUGUAUACUUGCACGUAUGUUUUGAUUGUGAAAUCGAUCAACAAAGAAGAGUUGUGCUAGAGAGUGACCUGCCUCAGCUGCACUAUAUGAAAGUUGUUAUUAAGGAGACAUUUCGAUUACAUCAUCCUGUGCCAUUAUUAGUCCCAAGAGAAUCCAGGGAAGAUGUAACUAUUGAUGGAUAUGAUAUUCCUGCAAUAACAAGGUUUUAUGUAAAUGCCUGGGCUAUAGGAAGGGAUCCAAAAUCUUGGAAAAUCCAGAAAAUUUUGAGCCAGAGAGAUUCAUGGGUAGCAUUAUCGAUUUCAAGGGGCAAGAUUUUGAGCUGAUACCUUUUGGUGCUGGUAGAAGAAGUUACCCAACCAUUAUCUUUGGAACAUCAACUGUUGAGCUUACUCUGGCUCAACUUCUCCACAGUUUUGAUUGGGAGCUUCCCCCUGGGAUCCAACCUAAUGAUCUGGAUAUGACAGAUGUUUUUGGCAUAUGAAUGCACAGGAUGGCUCAUCUUAUUGUGGUUGCCAAACCACACUUUUCGUAAGUUUUAUUUUAAGGAUUGGUGAAUAAGUAAAACAAGUAACACUAACAAUGCCAAUGUUUAUUCCAGUUUCAGUAAUGAAUUUUGUUUUAAUAGUCAAAAAAUAAUAAUGCCUCCUCAAUUUAGUAAUAACUUUUGUUAAACCGGUUGAUGAAAAAAAAUAUAUUAUCAAAUAAAAUAUAUGUUAAGAUAUCAACUCCCUCUCUCCAGUCGGUCGAGCCUUCGCUAGUCCACUUAUACUCCGAUAGGGGUACUCUCUUUCCCCCGUAAGGGCCGAGUUUUGGGAGGUCCGGAAGAGGGGCCUCCUAGGACCCUCUGGAGGGGCGGCUAAAACCUAAGUGGAAUGAGGAAUGCUCGACCGACCGGAGAGAGGGAGAGACUAGACAAAUCCUAUGAUUAAAUAGUCUUAGUCACAUUAUUUUUUAUGGAAUUAUUCAUGAGAUAACUUAAAAUAAUCUCAUGUUAUGUUUGUUCUUUCUAUGACUAAUUAAAGGAUUGAAUAAAAAAGUAAUCGUUUGGACUAUUAUACCCUUACCAAUAAUAAUAUAUUUUAAAUUAUAAUUUAAACUUGUUUAUACAUCAGAUUUCUUUUUUGCUGAAGACUUAAAUUGAUGUAAUAGCUCUAAUAGUAGAACGAGUGACUCAAUGCGUUUUCCAAGCUGAAAACAAGAAUGAAAAAUAAUCUCAUAAUUAAGAUAUUGUUUAGAAUUAUAUCAGUCAUAUACGAGCUUUGAACGGUUGUGUUUCCCGUCAUUUAAGCGCUAACGCUGAUAACAAAUAUAAAAGCUCUUUCCCUGCCAUCUUAAUUUGCACUAUUAUCAUUAAGCAAAGUAAUUAAGUACCAAACUCUAAUAAGCAAAGUAAUUUAGUACCAAACUAUUAUAAGCAAAUUAAUUAAGUAUAAACUGUUUACCAGUAAUAAGUUAUUUAUCAAUAAGCUAUUUAAAAAUUAAGUUAUUUUAUCAAUAAGUUGUUUACCAAUAAACUUUUUAAAUAAUAAGUUGUUUACUAAUAAUAAACUGUUUACCAAUAAUAAGCUUAUUGGAUAUAAUAGGAUAUUAUGGUCAUUUUAGAAAAAGGUUGAGAAUAAUUUUGUUUAGAAAUUUUUAGUCCCAAUGGUGGGAUGUUGAACAUGGUCCCUCAUCUUAAGUCAUUUUAUGAUCAUUGGAGUAAUAGUCCUAAGUCCAAAUUUAAAAACAAAAAAGAUACUUAGAUUAAUAGUCACCAAUUAUGAGAAAUCCUUUUCUUCUAAAUAAAAAUUGACAAUGCAGGUAGUAUCAUUAACAUGCAUAUCCAAAAGAGACCCACCAGAAGGAAUCAAAUUCUUCACUGUGAAUAUAUUUGCAUACUACUACCCAAUUGAAACCUCUUUCAAUUAAGUCAAAAAAAAUAAAUUGGUAAUUUCAAUGACAAUUAAGUUUAUAUAGUCCCCAAAGUAAUGUUAGUAAUCAUAAAUAAUUCUUAAACGCACGGUACAGUUUGGAUAUAUCCACCAAUUUUUCAAUGAAGCAAUUGCACAAACACCCUGGCGGCAUAAUAAAUUUUCAAAGGAAGGAUGUAAACAUGCAAGCAAAGAAUAGUCGAUUCAAAAUAAGAGUGGAACCUUGUAAUGGGACAUAUUGCAGUGGAAGGCAGGCUGGCUGGCCCCGGGGUGUCCAGAACAAAAGCAGUAAAAUUAACUAAAACUCAUUUGCUCAACUAAAAGGCACUAGGCCAGCUGGUUGUCUUUGGUUGUUCGACCGUCUCAGACCGGAUUGAUUCAUCUAUUCACCUGAGCCCAGUUGUUUACACACUACUAUGUUCACAGAUUUUGUUUGUUUUUUAUAGCUUAUACCACAACCGUUGACAAAUUUUUACAAGUCUAGAAAAACCUGGAAAAGAGGUCCAGAGGAAAAUUAGCAUCUGUACCUUUAGUUUAUUUUUAUUUUUAUUUAUUAAGAGAUUUAUUUGGUGACGGACGUCAACUCUUGGAGAGAGACUUGACCCACGUCGGCCACCCACCGAGUCUUUAGUAGUUAAAAACAAAAAACAGUGUAGUCG
rnacentral:lncRNA from 1 species